UACGAAGGGGGCUAGCGUUGCUCGGAAUCACUGGGCGUAAAGGGUGCGUAGGCGGGUCUUUUAAGUCAGGGGUGAAAUCCUGGAGCUCAACUCCAGAACUGCCUUCGAUACUGGGAAGCUCGAGUCCGGGAGAGGUGAGUGAACUGCGAGUGUAGAGGUGAAAUCGUAGAUAUUCGCAAGAACACCAGUGGCGAAGGCGGCUCACUGGCCCGAUACUGACGCUGAGGUGCGAAAGCGUGGG
rnacentral:rRNA from 1 species